rnacentral:rRNA from 1 species
UACGGGGGGGGCAAGCGUUGUUCGGAAUUACUGGGCGUAAAGGGCUCGUAGGCGGCCAACUAAGUCGGACGUGAAAUCCCUCGGCUUAACCGGGGAACUGCGUCCGAUACUGGAUGGCUUGAGUAUGGGAGAGGGAUGCGGAAUUCCAGGUGUAGCGGUGAAAUGCGUAGAUAUCUGGAGGAACACCGGUGGCGAAGGCGGCAUCCUGGACCAUUACUGACGCUGAGGAGCGAAAGCCAGGGGAGCAAACAGG